rnacentral:pre_miRNA from 1 species
CAUGUACUCACUCCGUCCAACAAAAGAUGUCCCAAGUUUGUCAAAAUUUGGAUGUAUGUAGACAUGACUUAGUGUAUAGAUGCAUUCAAAUUUAGUUAACGUUGAGAAUCUUUUGUUGAACGGAGGAAAUACUAG